rnacentral:sRNA from 1 species
GCAAGUCCAAGUAAAAUGCGAAUGCCCGGCGGAUACGGUUCCGCCGGGCAUUUUUGUAUGCU